UACAGGGGGUGCAAACGUUGCUCGGAAUUAUUGGGCGUAAAGCGCGCGUAGGCGGCUACUUAAGUCGGAUGUGAAAGCCCUUGGCUCAACUGAGGAAGUGCACCCGAAACUGAGUGGCUUGAGUACGAAAGAGGGUCGCGGAAUUCCCGGUGUAGAGGUGAAAUUCGUAGAUAUCGGGAGGAACACCGGUGGCGAAGGCGGCUACACGUGGCC
rnacentral:rRNA from 1 species